rnacentral:rRNA from 1 species
CCUACGGGAGGCAGCAGUAGGGAAUUUUCGUCAAUGGGCGCAAGCCUGAACGAGCAAUGCAGCGUGAACGAGGAAUGUCUUCGGAUCGGAAAGUUCUGUUGAAAGGGAAAAAGAGCGGAGAGAGGAAGUGGUCUCCGAUUGAUAUUACCCUUCGAGGAAGUCACGGCUAACUACGUGCCAGCAGCCGCGGUAAUACGUAGGUGGCGAGCGUUAUCCGGAAUGGUUGGGCGUAAAGGGUGCGUAGGCGGCCUGCUAAGUCUGGAGUGAAAGGUACCGGCUCAACCGGUACAGGCUCUGGAAACUGGCGGGCUAGAGAGCAGUAGAGGGCGGUGGAACUCCAUGUGUAGCGGUAAAAUGCGUAGAUAUAUGGAAGAACACCAGUGGCGAAGGCGG